rnacentral:lncRNA from 1 species
AUGACUCCCACGUGGUCUUGGGCUUCCGCUUUUGCAAAAGUCCUUUGCAGCCAGCACAGUAUCAUACCUAUAAGACGUGGAAGAGAGCAAGCUCACCGUGCUCAGGGUUUGGGGUAUGCUGUGUGUAGUGACAGCGCUCCCUGCAGGCCUCCCAGCCCACCUGUGACCUUGACCUCUUUGUCCUCAGGAGCCGGACUGUGUCCAGCGUUUCCAGCUUCCUUGCACCAGAGGAAGAGGGUUCACGAAAGGAUUGCCUUUAGAGAGUGGCGGUCGGUGGCCGCGGUGAGCCUGCUGCCAUGAUUCCCUGGAUGCGGACACAGAGCCCGCCCCUGGCCUCUUCCUGCCCACGGAGCAUCCUGCUUGCGAUCGCUUCCUUGACCUGCAAAGCCCUGUGAGAAGAACGAUGAUGUCUUAACAGUUUUAGCCCCCACCUAGCUAGGUUCUUGCAUAGUUUCUUGCACAUAGGAGAUUAAGUCAGUAUCUGUUAGUAAUUAAUUUAGUCUGAGCACGCUGCUAUCUGUCCCACAAAUACCAUAACGUCGACCGGCUUAUAAACAACGGAAAUGUCCUUCUCACAGUUCUGGAGCCUGGGCAGCCCAAGAUCAAGGCACUCGCAGAUUCUGUGUCUAGCGAGGGCCCAUUUUCUGUGCUUUCCACUGUAAGCUCACAUGGCAGAGGGGCAAUGGGUCUUUCUUUUAUAAGGCACUAAUCUCAUUCAUGAGGGCUUUGCCUUGCAGACCGAGUCACCUCGCAGAGGCCCCACUGCUUAAUACAUUCGCAUUGAGCAUUGGGUUCAAACUUCACGCAUUUUGGAGGGGCACAAACAUUCAGACCUUAGUAGUGGUAUUAGAGAACUUUUACAAAUUUAAAUAAAAUGUGAUUAUGAAAUUCUUUUAAAAACUGC